GAUGAACGCUGGCGGCAUGCCUAAUACAUGCAAGUCGUACGGGAAAGAUUCGUCUUUCCAGUGGCGAACGGGUGAGUAAUACGUAGAUAACUUAUCCUUAAGCCGGGGAUAACAGUUGGAAACGACUGCUAAUACCGGAUAGGAUAUGCGACCGCAUGGAUGCAUAUUUAAAGGCGCCUUCAAAGCGCCGCUUAAGGGAAGGUUUACGUCGCAUUAGCUUGUUGGCGGGGUAACGGCCCACCAAGGCUAUGAUGCGUAGCUGUGCUGAGAGGCAGGACAGCCACACUGGGACUGAGACACGGCCCAGACUCCUACGGGAGGCAGCAGUAGGGAAUUUUCGGCAAUGGGGGAAACCCUGACCGAGCAAUGCCGCGUGAAUGAUGAAGGUCUUCGGACUGUAAAGUUCUGUUAUCGGGAACGAAUAACAUGGCGAGGAAAUGCGCCAUGCAUGACGGUACCCGAUGAGAAAGCCCCGGCUAACUAUGUGCCAGC
rnacentral:rRNA from 1 species